rnacentral:rRNA from 1 species
GAUGAACGCUGGCGGCGUGCCUAAUACAUGCAAGUCGAGCGAACAGACGAGGCGCUUGCUCCUCUGACGUUAGCGGCGGACGGGUGAGUAACACGUGGAUAACCUACCUAUAAGACUGGGAUAACUUCGGGAAACCGGAUCUAAUACCGGAUAAUAUAUUGAACCGCAUGGUUCAAUAGUGCAAGCCGGAUUUGCUGUCCCUUAUAGAUGGAUCCGCGCCGCAUUAGCUAGUUGGUAAGGUAACGGCUUACCAAGGCAACGAUGCGUAGCCGACCUGAGAGGGUGAUCAGCCACACUGGAACUGAGACACGGUCCAGACUCCUACGGGAGGCAGCAGUAGGGAAUCUUCCACAAUGGGCGAAAGCCUGACGGAGCAACGCCGCGUGAGUGAUGAAGGUCUUCGGAUCGUAAAACUCUGUUAUUUGGGAAGAACAAAUGUGUGAGUAUCUAUUCACGUCUUGACGUUACCAAAUCAAAAAGCCACGGCUAACUACGUG